rnacentral:rRNA from 1 species
GUUUGAUACCCCGAAACUACGUGAGCUACUUCAAGACAGCCUAUUAAUAGGGCAAACCCAUCUCUGUGGCAAAAGCGUGGGAAGAACUUUGAGUAGAGGUGACAAACCUACCGAACCUAGUUAUAGCUGGUUGUCCAAGAAAUGAAUAGAAGUUCAGCCUCUAAGCUUCUCUUUUCACCUGAGCUUAACUCCUUUAGAUGUAUUAAAGAAACUAAGAAAGUUAGUCAAAGGGGGUACAGCUCCUUUGAAUCAAGACACAACUUUAACAGGCGGGUAAAGAUCAUAGUAACCAAAGCUAAACAUUCUGGUGGGCCUAAAAGCAGCCAUCCCUUAGAAAGCGUUAAAGCUCAGACAUAUUCUUAUACCUUAUUAUCUUGAUCAAUAAAUCUCACCCCCCUAACCAUACUGGACCCUCCCCUGCCCCCAGGGGUGUGAUUAUGCUAAUAUGAGUAAUAAGAGAGCCCCGCCUCUCUCCCUGCACACGUGUAUCUCGGAACAGACAAUCCACCGACCAUUAACGGCCCCAAACAAAGAGGGCCCUAGAUCCUAACUCAAAACCUAGUAAAGCAUCUAAAAAUUAACCGUUAACCCCACACAGGUGUGCCCCAAGGAAAGACUUAAAGAAAGAGAAGGAACUCGGCAAACACAUUAAGCCUCGCCUGUUUACCAAAAACAUCGCCUCUUGUGCCCCCU